UACAAAGGGAAGUAAACAUGACAUGUGACCUCAUGAAAACCAGUUUGCUUCUAACAUUGUCACAUGACCUGUCCAUGAUAUAUUACUGUAAAUUCCUCCUUUAGUCUACACACAAAAGCAUGUUUAUGUUGAUUAAAUUAAAAAAAAACACCUCUUUGCACAAACAACACAGGUGUGUGUUGUGUUCUUCAAGGUGUACAAAUGGUAAGCAUUUUAUGUAAUACAACUGAUUAAGGGAGCCCAUAACUACUGUAAACAGAGUCCUGUACCUAACGGUGGGAGGUACUUGGCUGUGACCGACGGGGAUUCCUCAGCUGUGCUGUGACAUCAUCAACCAGUGGGACUAUGUAAGCUGCACUGCUAUCAAUAGUUCAAACCAGUUCCUUCUUGUCAAACCGCAAUAACAGCGCUACAUAAGCACUGAGGGAAAAGACAAACUGAAUCUAUAGAGCUUUUCUUCUCUUCUCCGGACAGGCAGAGACGUUAUCGCUCAAUAAAAAAUGACUGGCCAAGAUCUUGCUGCCACUGUGAAUCUCUGUGCACUUGAGCUGCGUCAAGUUGGGGACGAGCUUUACUGGAGAUACAAACUGCUGGAAAUAUUGAUCAGAAACUACAAGAACGUUACUAAAAUCAAAUGAGAUAUCACUUCAAGAUACAUGAAGAAGAAUCGGAUAGCCGGAUGGCAAUCAGAGGCAAAGCAGAAGAGUCUCAGCUGUGGACUCAUCAAUGGUGGCUGUGUUUUGGCUCUCAAGUUGGAUGUACACUAAGCUGGUGAAAACAACCAGAUGGAGCUGCUGAAUAUGAACCGUCACUGGACAGACUGCUGUCAUAUACAAGACUGGAGCUCUACAGAGAAAUUCAGAUUCUGUUGAUUCACGCAUUCAGAGCUGUGGGCGACUCGAACAAAGAGGAACAUCUGAAGGGAAGUGAACUGUCAGAAAAUGCUGUUUGUCACGUGUGAUCUGGACACACAUGCUGUAUGUGGACAUUAACGCAUGAAAGACACUGCUCUAUAAGUCUAUCGCUUUUAUGUUGAUUGAAGACUUGGAAUAAUUAAGACUUGGUUACUUAUCCAAUUUCUUUCUUUUUGAAGCAUUGCAUGGGAUGGUAAUAAAAGAUGCAUACUCAUGAAAUCUUGUGCCUGGUCAUAUGUACCAUAGUGGUGGUAAGAAAAAAACAGACGCAACUAACAAUAAUUUUCAUAUCUAUUUAUCUGUUGUUGUUUUUUUCUCCCAAUUAAUGCAUUGAUUUCCUUGAUAAAAUGUCAGAUAACAGCAAUUCAACUUUCCAGGGCCCAAGGUGAUGUCUUAAAAUUGCAAAUUUUGUCCAAAACGUUUAUCGUGUUAAAAAAAAAAGCAGAAACAGAAAAUCCUCACGUUAAAGAAGCAGAAACAAGGAAAUGUUUUGAAUUUUCUCUUGAUAAACAGCUUACAAAUUUAA